rnacentral:rRNA from 1 species
UAUUGCACAAUGGGCGCAAGCCUGAUGCAGCGACGCCGCGUGAGCGAAGAUGGUUUUCGGAUCGUAAGGCACUGUCUUCUGGGCAGGAAAAAAUGACGGUACCAGAGGAGGAAGCCCCGGCUAACAUCGUUCCAGACGCCGCGGUAAUACGUAGGGGGCUAGCGUUGUCCGGAUUUACUGGGCGUAAAGGGUGAGUAGGCGGUAACGUGUGUCAGAUGUUUAAUCUAUGGGCUCAACCCAUAUCAGCAUUUGAAACUACGUAACUUGAGUGCAGGAGAGGUAAGUGGAAUUCCUAGUGUAGCGGUGGAAUGCGUAGAUAUUAGGAGGAACACCAGUGGCGAAGGCGACUUACUGGACUGCAACUGACGCUGAGUCACGAAAGCGUGGGGAGCAAACAGG